GACGAACGCUGGCGGCGUGCUUAACACAUGCAAGUCGAGCGGUAAGGCCCUUUCGGGGGUACACGAGCGGCGAACGGGUGAGUAACACGUGGGUGACCUGCCCUCAGCUCUGGGAUAAGCCUGGGAAACUGGGUCUAAUACUGGAUAUGACUCCACGGUGCAUGUCGUGGGGUGGAAAGCCUUGUGCGGCUGAGGAUGGGCCCGCGGCCUAUCAGCUUGUUGGUGGGGNGAUGGCCUACCAAGGCGACGACGGGUAGCCGGCCUGAGAGGGCGACCGGCCACACUGGGACUGAGACACGGCCCAGACUCCUACGGGAGGCAGCAGUGGGGAAUCUUGCGCAAUGGGCGAAAGCCUGACGCAGCGACGCCGCGUGAGGGAUGACGGCCUGGUGUAAC
rnacentral:rRNA from 1 species